GGGGAAUAUUGGACAAUGGGCGCAAGCCUGAUCCAGCCAUGCCGCGUGAGUGAUGAAGGCCCUAGGGUUGUAAAGCUCUUUCACCGGUGAAGAUAAUGACGGUAACCGGAGAAGAAGCCCCGGCUAACUUCGUGCCAGCAGCCGCGGUAAUACGAAGGGGGCUAGCGUUGUUCGGAAUUACUGGGCGUAAAGCGCACGUAGGCGGAUAUUUAAGUCAGGGGUGAAAUCCCAGAGCUCAACUCUGGAACUGCCUUUGAUACUGGGUAUCUUGAGUAUGGAAGAGGUAAGUGGAAUUGCGAGUGUAGAGGUGAAAUUCGUAGAUAUUCGCAGGAACACCAGUGGCGAAGGCGGCUUACUGGUCCAUUACUGACGCUGAGGUGCGAAAGCGUGGGGAGCAAAC
rnacentral:rRNA from 1 species